rnacentral:rRNA from 1 species
UACGUAGGCAGCAAGCGUUGUUCGGAGUUACUGGGCGUAAAAAGUGCGUAGGCGGUCCUGUAAGUUUGGUGUGAAAUCUCCCGGCUCAACUGGGAGGGUGCGCCGAAGACUGCAGGGCUUGAGUAUGGGAGAGGUAAGCGGAAUUCCUGGUGUAGCGGUGAAAUGCGUAGAUAUCAGGAGGAACGCCGGAGGCGAAAGCGAGUGACUGGCGCGUUCCUGACGCUGAGGUGCGAAAGCUAGGGGAGCAAACAGG